rnacentral:rRNA from 1 species
GGCCGGGAUAGCCCAGGGAAACCUGGAUUAAUACCGGAUGAGACGGGACCCGCGAUGGCGGGACCCGGGAAGGCGCUGCGGCGCCGCCGGGGGAUGAGUCUGCGUCCCAUUAGCUAGACGGCGGGGUAACGGCCCACCGUGGCGACGAUGGGUAGCCGGCCUGAGAGGGUGGACGGCCACAUUGGAACUGAGACACGGUCCAGACUCCUACGGGAGGCAGCAGCUAAGAAUCUUCCGCAAUGGGCGAAAGCCUGACGGAGCGACGCCCGCGUGAACGAAGAAGGCCGUGAGGUUGUAAAGUUCUUUUCGGGAGGGGGAACAACCGUGGCAGGGAAUGGCCGCGGGAUGACGUGAAUCCCGGAAUAAGCCCCGGCUAACUACGUGCCAGCAGCUGC